UACGGAGGGUGCAAGCGUUGUUCGGAAUCACUGGGCGUAAAGGGCGUGUAGGCGGUCUGCUAAGUCUGGUGUGAAAUCCCCCCGCUCAACGGGGGAACGGCGCCGGAUACUGGCAGACUCGAGUACCGGAGAGGAAGGUGGAAUUCCCGGUGUAGCGGUGAAAUGCGCAGAUAUCAGGAGGAACACCAACGGCGAAGGCAGCUCUCUGGGACGUUACUGACGCUGAGACGCGAAAGCGUGGGGAGCAAACAGG
rnacentral:rRNA from 1 species